GAGCGAGGCGAGCAUCUUCUCCUACUGGGAAGCGGGGAGGGGAAGCGAGACAGAAGUCAACAGGGCUGUCUUCCCCAGGACUUCGCCCUAAUCCCGAUUUAUGUUCUCUCUGCAUGGCAUCUUGACCAAAGUUCCGGCGUUGAGGCCCGCCUCCCGGGACGAAAGGCAGUCAGUCCGGCCACCUGCGGGCGGAGGGCUCGGGUGGGGUCGCUCACCCGCUGGAAGGUGGUGGCCUUUCUAGGGAUGGCCGGCGCCCGCGUCGUCUAGUUCUCCUUCCCCGCUGUCCCUCGGCCUGCCAGCGGCCUUUCCUGUCGCCUCGUCCACGUGCCGGACGGCUUGGCAGUGGUCAGGAACACGCGUCGGCGAGCUGGGCAACCUGGCCCUUGCUCCUUGCCCUUACCUUGGCGCAGGCUUUGCCCUGGUUUACCACGGGCUUUCGGCCUUGGCCGUUGCCCCCUUGCUCACCAGGCUGCUACCCAAUAGCCUUUCGCCGAGUGCCUGCCUCACAGCCUCUGCACCUGCCCAUGGCUGGGCCUGGGAGAGUCCACCUUCCAGAUGGCCCUGAUUCCUGCUUCACGAAGAUAAAAACCGUUUAGCUCCAUCAACCUUACCAUUCUCCUCCAAAGGGUUUCUAGCAAAUAUCCAUUUUGUGAAAAUUCUCAGGCACCCAAAGGAACAAAAGGCGGCGCUGUACUUGGGUUCUUCUUCCUGCUUUGGGACUGCAAUGGACUUGACUUAGCUCAGAGCGUGGGCAACCUUCCCUUGGCCCCCUGAAGCUGUUUUCCUCUUUAGCUGCCACACUGCACAGACAGAUCUCCACUUGUGCCUACCCUCUGUCCAACGAUCGCCGUGACAGUUUGUCACCUUUUUUUUAAAUCUCUCUUUCACCUCCUUUUUCGUAGAGGUUGGUAGAAUAGCUAAAUGCGAUAAUCCAUGGAAGGCCUUCAACAUAAUGCCUGGCACAGUAAGAGCUAUUAUUAGCCACCAAUCAAAAAUAAACAGUGACUCUUCAUUAACUGCAGCUUCAGAUCCAGAGAGCUGCCGUGAUACCCGGUGUAACCCGUCACAGCCCCGUCGUAUUGCCCAGUAUUGUCACACUCUCAGUGUGAGCUGAGCACGCAGCUCGUUCAUAGCCCCACCCCACCCCUGCAACAGGACAAAUUUUAUUUAUUGCUAACGCCUGAGCCUGCACAGAUACACAAAGUACCAAUCCAUACUUAAAUGAAAAUUGAUGUGAAAUCAAA